CCUGCUACAGUGCUUUUAUCCCUGCUUGGAGAUGCAUCAUAUUAGAAGCAGAAGAUCCCCCAGAAGGGUACAGUUGGUGGCAGUGCAAGAAAAACAGAAGGCCUGGCAGCAGAGCAACACGCAGCUGGGAGAGCGUCUGUGCUUUAAACUGUGCUGUGGGGCUGAGGUGUGGGGAGGGGAGAGAGAGCAGAAUGUGAGGUAGAAGCUGUAGCUCCUGGCUUAAACCUCACAUGACAUCAGGAAUUAUCCUUAAUUAACGUCUUAAAUGUCUCUUAACAGGUUUAGUUAAUUUAGUUCUAUUUUGCCUAUUUUGACAGGGUCAGUAGGAACUGAUUUUUUCUAGAGGCUGCCAGAGAUGUCAUUGGGCUCAGAUGCUUGGAGAAGACUUGAGGCCACAUGCUGAAAAGCCAGCCUUGUGUCCUGCCCUACCCUGUGCCGCCUUCUGUUGUUCUCCCAACUGGCCCUCUAAACUGUUAGGUCAUACCCCUCUCUGAAGUAUACGUAACUCUCAGCAAGACAUGGCUGGGUGUUUGGGCUGCUCUGAUCCCUUUAUUCCUUUUGAUGCUUCUUCUAAAGUGACAUUUCUAUUUAUGAAAAUAACCUGAGCUGUUUACUUUUUAUCUUAAACUAAUCUGUGUCUGGUAGGUUACUCUGGGAGGGGCCUUACGUGGCCAUACAGGCUCUUGUUUCCCCAAGGAUUGCCUGACUGAAUGCAGCUCUGGAGAAAGCCUGUAUCCUUCUCUAACAGCAGGGAUUAUGGUCACUCGUGUCAUGAUAUAUACAGUACUCUUAAGGUUACAUGUACUACGCUUCAGCCAAAACAGAGCAGAAGUGAAACUCCAGCCUGGACAAGACAGUUUUGCUUCCUCUGCGUGAUGGACACAAAUGCUUUCAGAUCUGCUGAUUUGGUAGAAGUGAACUUGGAUCAUCCAGGACCAUGUUAUUGGGGCUCCACCUUACGGCAGAUGAGAGCAGAAUGGCAGUGGCAUUAUAACUUCUCCAGGUUAGAAACUAGGGAGAAGAAAUUUGAUAUGAUACGAUAUUUUGCUUUGGGCCAAAAAAGAAUGCAUUCUCCAAACAGAGAAUGCAUUUUUUCAUAGUGCCUCAAGAUCUAUGCAAAAUAAGAGUAUUUCUAGUAGUUCUAUUUUUACAGCGUCUUACAUAAUAAUGAUUUAUUUGGCAUGAACAUAACUGUGCAGACAAUUAAAAAACAUCUCUUUUUCAAGUAAUUUGUAAUCUCUG
rnacentral:lncRNA from 1 species